GGGCGGAAGCACGGGCAACGGUUGUUUCCUGCGGAGAAGGGCAGGGGACACGGAGCGGCGCCUGGACUCUGGGCCUGCGGCCUCUCCGGAGGGCUGCGCACCCCUGAGCCUGCCCUGGGCGCGCCGGCUGUCGGGGGACCCUUCUGCACAAGGCCGGUGACUCUGCGUGUGUGUGGGAGGCAGGUGGUGGUGGCGUCCGGUGGGCCAAGGGCCGCCUGUGCCCCGGGUGUGGGCUCCGGCUUGGGUCCAGGCUGCGGUCCAUCUUCGCGGCUCCCGCGGUUGGAGCAGGUCGUGCAAAGCAGGCCGAGGUUCAGAGGGCUCAUCUUGAACAAGACUGUCACCAAGCAGCAGUGCAAAGCCCCCCAAACCCCCCAAACUCAGCUAAGGACCCUGUACCGGACCGGUUGCUACGUGUCAGAAGGGCAAAGAACUGCUUCCGGGGCACCUCUCCAUUUGUUUAAUUCAUCCAUAAUUUCUCUCAGCAACAGUUGUUUUCACUGUUCGGGUCUUUCCCAUUGUUUUCUGGUUUAUCUCUAAUUAUUAUUUUAAAAUACCUGUUUUAAGUGAUAUUUUUAAAAAGUCAGAUUCCAACUAUAGGUAGCAUAUACAAAUAUAAUUGAUUUUUAUGUAUUGAUCUUGACUCCUACAACUUUCCUAUACUCAUCUAUUUAUUCUAGUAGUUUUUUUUGUUGAUUUUGUUUUUUUCCAGAUGGGUUAUCAUAUUAUCUGUGAAUAAAGAUUCACAUUUUCCUUCUUCCUUUACAAUCUGGAUACUGUUUACUUCUUUUUCUUGCUUGAUUACACUGUCUAGAACUUCUAGUACAGUGUUCAGUAGAAGUGAUAAGAGUGGGAAUCCUUGACUUGUUCUUGAUCUUAGGGAGGAAACAUUCAAGUUUUUCACCAUUCAGUAUGAUGUUAACUGUUUUUGGGUGUGUGUGUGUGUGUGUGUGGAUGGCUUCUCUCAGAUUGGAGAAGUUCUCUUCUGUUUGUUCUUUUCAGAGGUUUUUUUUUUUAAAAUCAGGAUUGGAUGUUGGAUUUUGGCAAAUGCUUUUUCUGUGGCUAUUAAGAUUAUCAUGUGUUUUUUUUGUCUUUAGUUAGUUUACUAUGUAAC
ensembl:lncRNA